AUUAGGUGUAAACUAUAUUGAACCGAUGACGCCUCUUAGGGGUUUGGACGUUGUGUCCAAUUAGUUUACACAAAAUUUAAAAAUUUAACACAUAUAAGAAAAAACUUUAAAGUUUAAAAACCUUAUAGUUUUAAUAGUAUUAAUAC
rnacentral:sRNA from 1 species